CACGUAGGGCGCGAGCGUUGUCCGGAAUUAUUGGGCGUAAAGAGCUCGUAGGCGGCCUGUUGCGUCCGCUGUGAAAGCCCGGGGCUUAACCCCGGGUCGGCAGUGGAUACGGGCAGGCUAGAGGUAGGUAGGGGAGAAUGGAAUUCCCGGUGUAGCGGUGAAAUGCGCAGAUAUCGGGAGGAACACCGGUGGCGAAGGCGGUUCUCUGGGCCUUACCUGACGCUGAGGAGCGAAAGCGUGGGGAGCGAACAGGAUUGAGAAAC
rnacentral:rRNA from 1 species